rnacentral:rRNA from 1 species
GAUGAACGCUGGCGGCGUGCCUAAUACAUGCAAGUCGAGCGAACAGACGAGGCUCUUGCUCCUCUGUCGUUAGCCGCGGACGUGUGAGUAACACGUGGAUAACCUCCUUAUAUGACUGGUAUCACUUCGGGAAACCGGCGCUAAUCCCGGAUAAUCUAUUGAACCGCAUUGUUCAAUAGUGAAAGACGGUUUUGCUGUCACUUAUCGAUGGAUCCGCGCCGCAUUAGCUAGUUGGUAAGGUAACGGCUUACCAAGGCAACGAUGCGUAGCCGACCUGAGAGGGUGGUAGGCGACACUGGAGCUGAGACACGGUCCAGACUCCUACGGGAGGCAGCAGUAGGGAAUCUGACGCAAUGGGCGAAAGCAUGACGGAGCAACGGGGCGUGAGUGAUGAAGGUCUUCGGAUCGUAAAAAUCGGUUAUGAGGGAAGAACAAAUGUGUAAGGAACUAAGCACGUAUUGACGGUAACUAGUCAGAAAGCCACGGCUAACUACGUG